rnacentral:lncRNA from 1 species
ACUGUUCUUGUAACAGAAAGAUUUUGUCAAUUUAUCUGUCUGACUUUUUGAAGUCAGACCCAUAGGGUAAGUAGGGCUGUAAUAAACGCUGAAAUACAGGAUCAAAGGCAAGAGAAACGUGUCUCUUAAUUCUUGGGCUAUUGGACUUAUGUGGAUAUGUACCCACCAUGCACACAAGUGUGUUUGUGCAUAAUUUGAGCUCAGGAGAAGGUUGAAGGAGCAGAUGCAAGAUGAAUGGCUCUUAUAAGAACAACAAGCCCAGAACUUCUUUGUAAUUUUAAAGCGUGUCUCUCCUCUGAAGAAAUUAUUAUAGUUAUCAACCCUUCAUUACCCUAGAGAUUUAUCUAUCUAUCUAUCUAUCUAUCUAUCUAUCUAUCUAUCUAUCUAUCUAUCUAUCUAACUAUCUAUUUAUUUAUUUUGCAAGCAUUCAGAAUAAAAAAUGCCACUUCCAGUGACAUAAAUAGUGUUUUAUUUCUGCUAGCUGUCCAAAACACCACUUCAGGGAGAAACUAAGCAGGAUUCUGCUCUUUCUUUUGCCUCGUGCAGGGAAUAUCUGACUAGUUUCCCAUUAAGACUUCACUCUGUAUAGGUCUAAAAUUGGUGGAACUGCGGAGGAUCAUUUCAAAGAAUGAUUUGAUGUUUUGUACAGGUCUAAGUUGGGCCAUACAUUCUGUGAGCUAGAAGAGGGCUGGGUAGGAACCAGCAUGGAUAUAGAAGUCUGAGUGAAGCCUCUGUGACAAAGGGAGAGGAAACAAGCAAGAAGACAAGUUGGUGGAGGAACGAGGACCAGAUCCAGCUUGCUGGAUACCAGCUCCAGGUCUUUAGACCAGAGCACCAUGUGUGGGCCAUUCUUGACCCACAUACUGCUGGGUGCUGUAACUAAAUGAAUAAUAAUAAUAAUAAUAAAGUGACACAACCAUAAGAUGACCA